rnacentral:tRNA from 1 species
UGGCUCAGAGGAUAAAGUGUCUGUCUGCAAUACAGGAGACCCAGGUUCGAUCCCUGG